UUUCUAGUAGCACAAUGGAUAGCGCGUUGGACUUCUAAUACAAAGGCCAUGGGUUUGAACCCUAUCUGGAAUG